AUUCCAAAGGAAAUUAAUGUCACCAGGUGCCACAUCGUAUUCCUACGGACAUCCAUGUCAGCAGUUGCCACUUCAUUUGCCCACGGAAAUCAGUGUUACCACGUGCCACUUCCUAUUCCAUCGGAAAUAAACGUCACUAGGUGCCACUUAAUUCAUAUUCCCAAAAGGUAUCCUCAAAAAGUUUGACAAAAAUUGCUCACUGAUAAAAGAUUUUAAGCUGAACGAAACUAUAUUUAUGUAUUCGAAAGUUACCAUAA
rnacentral:lncRNA from 1 species